GUUACCUCAUUGAUAGGAGUGUAGUUAAACACAGACUGAAGGUUACCUCACUGAUAGGAGUGUAGUUAAACACAGACUGAAGGUUACCUCACUGAUAGGAGUGUAGUUAAACACAGACUGAAGGUUACCUCAUUGAUAGGAGUGUAGUUAAACACCGACUGAAGGUUACCUCACUGAUAGGAGUGUAGUUAAACACAGACUGAAGGUUACCUCAUUGAUAGGAGUGUAGUUAAACACAGACUGAAGGUUACCUCAUUGAUAGGAGUGUAGUUAAACACCGACUGAAGGUUACCUCAUUGAUAGGAGUGUAGUUAAACACCGACUGAAGGUUACCUCAUUGAUAGGAGUGUAGUUAAACACAGACUGAAGGUUACCUCAUUGAUAGGAGUGUAGUUAAACACCGACUGAAGGUUACCUCAUUGAUAGGAGUGUAGUUAAACACCGACUGAAGGUUACCUCACUGAUAGGAGUGUAGUUAAACACAGACUGAAGGUUACCUCAUUGAUAGGAGUGUAGUUAAACACCGACUGAAGGUUACCUCACUGAUAGGAGUGUAGUUAAACACAGACUGAAGGUUACCUCAUUGAUAGGAGUGUAGUUAAACACAGACUGAAGGUUACCUCAUUGAUAGGAGUGUAGUUAAACACCGACUGAAGGUUACCUCACUGAUAGGAGUGUAGUUAAACACAGACUGAAGGUUACCUCACUGAUAGGAGUGUAGUUAAACACAGACUGAAGGUUACCUCAUUGAUAGGAGUGUAGUUAAACACCGACUGAAGGUUACCUCACUGAUAGGAGUGUAGUUAAACACAGACUGAAGGUUACCUCAUUGAUAGGAGUGUAGUUAAACACAGACUGAAGGUUACCUCACUGAUAGGAGUGUAGUUAAACACAGACUGAAGGUUACCUCAUUGAUAGGAGUGUAGUUAAACACAGACUGAAGGUUACCUCAUUGAUAGGAGUGUAGUUAAACACAGACUGAAGGUUACCUCAUUGAUAGGAGUGUAGUUAAACACAGACCGAAGGUUACCUCAUUGAUAGGAGUGUAGUUAAACACCGACUGAAGGUUACCUCAUUGAUAGGAGUGUAGUUAAACACGACUGAAGGUUACCUCAUUGAUAGGAGUGUAGUUAAACACAGACUGAAGGUUACCUCAUUGAUAGGAGUGUAGUUAAACACAGACUGAAGGUUACCUCAUUGAUAGGAGUGUAGUUAAACACAGACUGAAGGUUACCUCAUUGAUAGGAGUGUAGUUAAACACAGACUGAAGGUUACCUCAUUGAUAGGAGUGUAGUUAAACACAGACUGAAGGUUACCUCAUUGAUAGGAGUGUAGUUAAACACAGACUGAAGGUUACCUCAUUGAUAGGAGUGUAGUUAAACACAGACUGAAGGUUACCUCACUGAUAGGAGUGUAGUUAAACACAGACUGAAGGUUACCUCAUUGAUAGGAGUGUAGUUAAACACAGACUGAAGGUUACCUCAUUGAUAGGAGUGUAGUUAAACACAGACUGAAGGUUACCUCAUUGAUAGGAGUGUAGUUAAACACAGACUGAAGGUUACCUCAUUGAUAGGAGUGUAGUUAA